rnacentral:lncRNA from 1 species
UUGGAUGCCAGUCAUGAAUGAAAAGAAUGGUUCCUUUGGCUGCAAGACCCAAGGUUAAUCAGGACCUCUUCUGAACAACUCUGUGCCUCAAACCUGAUUCCCCUUGGAAGUACCUGAACUGUGCAGAACUUCUAAACAGUGGAAGGCACCAAGCAGCUGGCACGAAAACCAGCCCUGCGACCUGAAGAGAUCCCGGGGUGGAUGCCAGGAAGCAGCUGUGGGGCUGGAUGUAGCAAACCCCUCCAUGGCAACCCCGUGACCUCAUGUCCUGGAGGGUGCUUGCUUCAGGGCGGCCUCCUCCACCUUACCCAGAGCCGGCUUUCCAGGAGGCGCCCAUGCCUAGCUGCCCUGGCAGGCGCCCAGGGAGGAAAGACAGCGUGGCCUUGGCAGCUGCCCGCCAGGAAGGAGACCACAGGUGCCAGGGAGAAGCCAUUUCCUUGCCCUCUUCAGCAGCCGUGACCUGCCCAGAUCCAGAGGGCUCCUGAUCCUUGGAAAUUCAAGUGGACAAGAUACACUGAUUUGGGGCAAGACACCACAGCCAGCUCCCCACCAGGGGCUCUGAUCACCCUUGUCAUCUUCUGCAGCAGCAGGAGGCUCUGGAGAGAUGCUGGACGAGUAAGCGUGUGGAACCAGUGAACUCCCCCGAAUGCAUGGGGCUGCUGCUGCUACUUGCUCUGGGGGUCCAGCCAGGGUCCUGGCCCCUUCUGUUUGGUCACUGUUCUCCUUGUCCUGAGACUUCCUGCUAAGCAAAUCAGUCAUAGAGAGUGAAGUUUAGGAGUCAUGACAGUGUCUCCCCUCCCAGAGAGGCUGUGGGAGAGUGAGGUGGAGUGACAGCUGGAACAAAAGCUCCGCAAGAAAGAGAGGGGCAGCCCUUCUUGUUCAGUUGAGCAGGUGGUGUGUGAGAGUGUGCAUGUAUGUGCGCACGAGCUAACACAGUUCAAGUAGAGGGGCUUGCCUGGUGGCUCAGUGGUGGAGAUUCCACCUGUCAGUGCAGGAGACAUGGGUUCAAUCUCUGAUCGGGAGGAUUCCACAUGCCGUAGAGCAACUGACCCUGUGCGCCACAACCAUUGAGCCUGUGCUCUAGAGCUGAGGAGCUGAAACUACUGAGCCCAAACGCCACAAUUACUGAAGCCUGAGCACCCUAGAGCCCGCGCUCCACAAGGACGACCACUGCAGUGAGAAGCCCACACACAGUGAAGAGUAGCCCCUGCUCACCACAACUAGAGAAAAGCCCGCACGGCAGUGAAGACCAAGCAUAGCCAAACAUAAAUAAAUAAAAUUAUUUUUUAAAAUUCA